CCUUUUUCCAAAUUUCCUGUAAUGUUCCUCUUCACUCCUUCCAAUAUAAGCAGCAAAUUAAUGCACUAAUUCACAUUCCAGAUACGUUACUUUUGUGAGUAGGUGCCUCUUUAUUUUUAGGCCAAUAACCCAGCCGAUUCUAUUAAACUAUUUUUCUAGACAAUACAUAAUGGGUACUAUUAUCUUCAAUCAGGGACACCUCCCUACUAAAAAUUGAGGGUACUAGAUGACUGUUCUGUGUAUGAUUGUAUAUACACAGGCCAGAUGGCUUCUAUACCUCUGUGGGAUUUUGCACCCUGCAAGAGAAUAUUUUCAAUAUGUGGCAGCUGUGGAGGUAGUAGCAAUCAGAAAUGGAUCACCUGUUUUGAUGCAGUUCAAAAGAACAAGAAGGCCUGCAGAAAAGCAAGCCAUCAAACUGGGCCAAAAAUGGACCGAUAUGUUUAAUUUUGAGUGUCCCAUGGAUUGUUUGGGCCUUAAGCUUAGUAUUUUUGGGUUUGUUGUUGUCAUGGGCCAAUUCUAUAAGCCCAAAUAUGAGGGAUUUGAGUCCUAUACGGGAUUAGUGUUAGUUUCUAUUUUAGUAA